UACAGUUGGCUCAGUGGUUAGAGCGUAGGUCUAGUAACCGAAAGGUCGCAGGAUCGAUUCCCGCUAGAGGCUGAAA
rnacentral:tRNA from 1 species